CCAUUUUUUCCCAUAAGGCCUGUGGGUUUUAUUGGUUUUUUUCACAGUGUGGUGACUUUCAGGAAUGCAUAUGUGGAAUCAUAGCAGGACUGACUGUUCACAUAAUACCUCUGAGAGGUGACCUAAGCAACCUGUACCUCAGAGAGGUGAUUGGCGGUCAACAGUGUGAAGUUUAAAACUUAACUUUUCCCGGUAUUUUCUCCCCUAAUGUGUUCUCAAAGAGAGAUAGCUUUAAGAAAUAAAGUAACACGAAGCAACCCUUGUGACAAACGAACCCAGAUUUUUGAAACGUUCUGUUUUCAUGGAAGCGUAACUCUGAGAAACUUCUGGAAUAAAGCUAGACACGGAGCAGGAAGAGGACAUCAUUCACAGUUAACAGCUGGAAGGCACGCCGUUCUCAGUCAAGGGUCCUUCCAGAGAGGAAAAAAAAAAAAAAAGUCUUGGGAAAAUGCCCAAGAUUGCCGAAUAUACCACUACCCUGGAAGGAAAUACGAUUUACAACAUCACCUUUCGGAGGUGAGGCAACAGGGCAGUGUUUCAAAGGACAUGGACACCAGGCUGGAGAGAAUUAGGUGUGAAACCACUUACGUGCCUCCGGUUCUCAUCUGGAAAGUGCAGACAACUACCUUAUAG
rnacentral:lncRNA from 1 species